UGUAGCUAUGGGACCUUAGGGGCUUAUUUAUAAAUGUGGCCUUGAUUUUUGUGGGAGAAAUUCUAUUUUGAGAAUACUUCCCAACUUUCAGCAGUUGAUUUUGUUUCUAGGUGUGGACACGACCCUUUUGAGACCCUGCCCCACUUCCCAGAUUUCUUAGGUGCAGGACUCUCUUCUUAUGAUAAACAAUGGACCUUUCCAUCAAUGUUCCACCAAGGAUGGAGAAGGACGGAGACCUCAUGUCUGUAAGGAUAUUAGACAUCACCCUGGAGAUCAUCUCCUUGAUAACUGGAGAGGAUUACACAGUAGUGAAGAAGUCGUCUGGUGAGUGUGUGACACCCCGUGUGUC